GCCGGAUUUCACACAGGUGUUGCAUGGCUGUCGUCAGCUCGUGUCGUGAGAUGUUGGGUUAAGUCCCGCAACGAGCGCAACCCUCAUCCUUAGUUACCAUCAGGUAAUGCUGGGGACUUUAAGGAAACUGCCAGUGAUAAACUGGAGGAAGGUGGGGAUGAUGUCAAGUCAUCAUGGCCCUUAUGGAGUGGGCUACACACGUGCUACAAUGGUGGCUACAAUGGGCUGCAAAGUCGCGAGGCUAAGCUAAUCCCUUAAAAGCCAUCUCAGUUCGGAUUGUACUCUGCAACUCGAGUGCAUGAAGUUGGAAUCGCUAGUAAUCGUGGAUCAGCACGCCACGGUGAAUACGUUCUCGGGUCUUGUACACACUGCC
rnacentral:rRNA from 4 species